AAGCCGUGUAGAACGUAGUAAUUUUGUUCAAAAAUUCGUAGUGAACUGAGCCAUGUAAAAUAGACGAUCAUCAGGCCAAUUACUGAUAUCACCUACAUACGUAAUCAUCCGAGUAACGCUAUUAAAUAAAUCCAACUGGCACGGUUGUAAAGCGACGAGUCGAGCGUAACAAUUUUAGAAAAAUAAAGGAUAUCCCUCCCGACACAACCGUUAAAUUACUGAGUAAAAAUUGAAAACAAAAAUUGUACUUUUUGUUUUAGUUUAGUCACGGAGUUCAUCAUUCUUUACGCGGUUCGUGUGCAGCCAGCCGUGCGGACCACGACGGAAUAAAUUAUUAGUUUUAUUUAAAUGUAGCAUGAAGUUACUUAAGCCUAAACAUGAGAACAAAGAAUAAUAUUGCCAUAAUAAAACUUUACAAAAGUGAAACUGGAAUUCUACCACCUAAAACCUUAAGCAGUGUUACACACCAUUAAGCCCGAUAUUAAAACAAAACGAAAUGUGUAAGGAAAAUCCUUGGCCCUAAAGGGGCGCAAAACUGAAUCCUGCUUACACUAAAACGAGUAUAAUUUUAGUCGCCGUUAUCUUUCUCUCGGUGUUCGACAAUAGAGUAGUGCCAUAAGAAGAUUGAAUUAAAUUUAAGACAAUGAUAAGGAACAUUAGUGGGACGCCGACAUUGAUAGGACAAAAAAUAAAAGACGAAUGUAAAAUGUUUUGUCUGGUUGGUCCAAGAAUGUUUCGCAAUGUUAGAACGUAACGACCGUUUAAAUUAAAAAGUGUAUAUUCAUUUUUUAUUUAAUUAGACAAGAAUU